UUCGAAACCAUGGAGCGCGCGGGGUGUGGCGCGGGGGAACUGCCAGGCCACAGGGCGUUGUCCUUCUGAGCCCCAGGUGCCUGCAAGAGGCCCUGCCCCAGAGAGGCCCCGCCCUGGCCCCAGGUGAUUGGGCCCGCCCUGCUAUUGGCUUGUAGGCGAAGCCAAUCAAUCAUUCUUUUUCGGGAAUUGUGAAUAGGGCCGUUGAAAAUCUGGCAGUUCCAAAUGCCUGCCGUGGCAGACGACCUGAUUCCAGAUGGCAAAGGACUCUGAGAACAGGCACGAGGCCACUGGAAAACUGCCAGCUGAGGGACAGAAUGAAGAUGACUGCGAGUCUGCUGAGAAACAGAGGAGGGCUGCCUCCUUUGUGGCGGUUUUCUAGUCCCUGCACCCAAGUGCCUGAUUGGAUUCUCCGGCGCCACAUUCUGUUGAGCCUUGGCUAGGGCAGAGGCCCCACGUCGCCCAGUGAGCGGUCUGGGGGUCCUGGGUGGUCAGGCCUCUCCCAUCUUCCACCCGUUUUCCAGCAGGCCUGUCAGCUUGGUCUGAAAAGCCUUCCAAAGUCUUGGAAAUAAAGCCGGUAAAGUUUGUCCUUGCCCCGGUUUCUGCCCUGGCCUUCCCUGUACCCAGGGUCAUGCAUUUCUUCUUCCACCUCCCCUUUCCUCUCAAAACCUUUUCAAUAAGCUUUCUCUCUGGUAAUCUCAUUCACACUGACCAUGAGUAGUUAACAAACCACCAUUCUAAUUUCUGUCGAGUUUGUCUGCACAUUAACCAAAAGCCAAAGAGAAAUAAGAAACCCCGUCUCCUGGACUUCACACAUGCACUCUUACUGAAUUCUCUCCACAGCCCUGAAGGGUAAGCAUCAUAAUCCUCAUUUCACAGACAAGGGCACUGAGACACCAGGCAGGGUCACAGAUGAGAGCGAGAAGAGCCAGGGCUACCUGGAGCAGUGCUGCAGCGCCUGUUACAGUGCUGGAGUUGUUCAGAGGGCACCUGGACCUGCACGGAGCAGCACUGGCAGCUGACAGCAGAGGCAGUGGUGCCUGUCCUUGUCCCUCAUCAGAGCCCAAGGGAGCACCCUGUUCGGAUGAUGGUGGCUGGAUGCCAAAUGAAGCGAAAUAUGUCCUUUUCUCAGACUGUGAACUUUUUUCUUGUUUAAGGAAGGGAAGGGCUUGAGCUGCUGUCCCACCCAGCUGGAACGCCUGCCCCCUCCCAGGCUGGCUGGGAUACAACUUCUCUGUUAGACAAGAAGGUGUACACUCAGUGAGCUAGUGGCUAGCAGACUCCUGCAGAGCCACAGAAAGCCCCAGCUGGCCUCCAGGUGGCCGCAGAAGUACAAUUUGACUGAGCAGGAGGGACGCCACCGACAGGUCACAGGAAAUCACUGUAUCAUCAUCACCAUCAAAGCAACGUACUGACAACUUGCCGCGGCGUGUGUUUCACACCCUUCAUGUCAUGUCAGCCCGUGAGUUCAUGUGGGCACUGCUCCCAUUUCUCACAGAGGAGGAAACUGAGGCUCGCAGAAGUUAAACAGCCUUCCCCAGGUCCUGGCA
ensembl:lincRNA